AACGCGAAGAACCUUACCUGGGCUCGAAAUGUAGUGGAAUCCGGUAGAAAUAUCGGCGUCUAGCAAUAGACCGCUAUAUAGGUGCUGCAUGGCUGUCGUCAGCUCGUGUCGUGAGAUGUUGGGUUAAGUCCCGCAACGAGCGCAACCCUUACCUACAGUUGCCACCCGCAAGGGGGAACUCUGUCGGAACCGCUUCGGAUAACGGAGAGGAAGGUGGGGAUGACGUCAAGUCCUCAUGGCCUUUAUGUCCAGGGCUACACACGUGCUACAAUGGCCGGUACAAACCGCUGCAAACCCGCGAGGGGGAGCUAAUCGGAAAAAGCCGGCCUCAGUUCGGAUUGGAGUCUGCAACUCGACUCCAUGAAGCUGGAAUCGCUAGUAAUGGCGUAUCAGAUCGACGCCGUGAAUACGUUCCCGGGCCUUGUACACACCGUAGAGAC
rnacentral:rRNA from 1 species